GAUGAACGCUGGCGGCGUGCCUAAUACAUGCAAGUCGAGCGAACGGACGAGAAGCUUGCUUCUCUGAUGUUAGCGGCGGACGGGUGAGUAACACGUGGAUAACCUACCUAUAAGACUGGGAUAACUUCGGGAAACCGUAGCUAAUACCGGAUAAUACUUUGAACCGCAUGGUUCAAAAGUGAAAGACGGUCUUUCUGUUACUUAUAGAUGUAUCCGCGCUGCAUUAGCUAGUUGGCAAGGUAACGGCGUACCAAGGAAACGAUGCAUAGCCGAACUAAGAGGGUGAUCGGCAACACUGUAACUGAGACACGGUCCAGACUCCUACGCGUGGCAUCAGUAGGGAUAAUUCCACAAUGGGCGAAAGCAGGACGCAGCAACGCCGCGUGAGUGAUGAAGGUCUUCGGAUCGUAAAACUCUGUUAUUAUGGAAGAACAUAUGUGUAGGUACAUGUGCACAUCUUGACGGUACCUAAUCAGAAAGCCACGGAUAACUACGUG
rnacentral:rRNA from 1 species